rnacentral:rRNA from 1 species
AUUGAACGCUGGCGGAAUGCUUUACACAUGCAAGUCGAACGGCAGCACGGACUUCGGUCUGGUGGCGAGUGGCGAACGGGUGAGUAAUACAUCGGAACGUGCCCAGUCGUGGGGGAUAACGUAGCGAAAGCUACGCUAAUACCGCAUACGAUCUAAGGAUGAAAGCGGGGGAUCGCAAGACCUCGCGCGAUUGGAGCGGCCGAUGGCAGAUUAGGUAUUGGGUAGGGUAAAGGCCUACCAAGCCGACGAUCUGUAGCUGGUCUGAGAGGAGGAUCAGCCACGCUGAGACUGGGAAACGGCCCAGACUCCUACGGGAGGCGGCAGUGGAGAAUUUUGGAAAAUGGGCGCAAGCCUGAUCCAGCCAUUCCGCGUGCAGGUUGAAGGCUUUCGGGUUGUAAACGGCUUUUGUACAGAACGAAAAGGCUCUGGUUAAUACCCGGGGCUCAGGACGGUACUGUAAGAAUAAGCACCGGCUAACUACGUGCCAGCCGCCGCAGUAA